GGGGAGGUCUGCGCUGUCUCUCUCUCCCUCUCUCUCUCUGUGUCUCUGUCUCUGUCUCUGUCUGUCUGUCUGUGUGUGUGUGUCUUUCUGUUAUCUGCCCCUCAGCCCCCGUCUCCCUGACUCUGUCUUCCCUUUCUCUCCGGUUUUUUUUUAAAACCCAUUCGGUGUCUUCCCAACACCUCAGUCGGGACGGGUGACAGCGGCUGGGUGUUUUUUGUUUGCUUGUGGUGUUGUCCAGCGUCCUUCCCUCACGCCCCUCACCAAGCGUGUGGUCUGUCGCUGUGGGCAUUGAGAACAAACUCGUUGACAUGUACUUACGUUCCGAUUUGGGAGUAUUAUGGAGUUUGCCCCCCCCCCCCCAGUUAAGUACUAACCAGGGUUUGUUAGCUUUGGCUAAUUUGGAGAAACCCAUGCAUGCCGCGCGGUCCGCUGCAGCCCCAGCCCAGUGUCCCUGGGUCCCCCACAGGCAGUGAGCCCUCCGGGUGCACUUGGUGUGACACUCGCGACAGGCUCGCCCUGUCACUUGGCUCCUCUGGAAUGGAACCUCGCUUCCCUGGUUCUCUCCUUGGAGUCAAGAAAACUUGCCGAGUGCCUCACCACCCACCACCGACCUCGGGGCAGGAGUGGGGAGUGGAAAAGGAAGGGGUCGUCCCUCCAGACGCUCACGACCCUGUGCCCUGCUCUGACCUCCACUUGAACUCACCGCUUGGACCUGCUUCAUUCUGCUGGCCAGCAAGCAGUCUUGUUUGCUCUCCCCUCCUGCCAGCCACCCAGCCUUACUAAGCAGUGAAGAGAAUUUUCACAGCAGCCUCUGCCUGGGAGAGACCUCCUGCCCAGAAUGGCCUUCCAUCUCUUGUUCACCCAGCAAAUUCUUGAUCAUCCUUCAAAACCUCAACUUGAUUGUUACCUCCUUGGCGAGUAAGUUCUUUCCUGAGGGCCUGUGUGUUGUAAUCAUCCGCCUGCAUGCCUCGCUCCACGUCGUUAAGAACAAUCUGUCCUAUUUCUGUGUGACCUGAUCUCCCACUGAUACAAAUGAAGCCUCAAACAGCCGUGAUGUCUCAACUUGCACCACUGCAUCAUCCGCACUGUGAGCAGAUUGAGCCCCUCAACUCCCUCCCUCCUUGCUGGGAGUCUUGGAGUGUCCCUGUAUGUCCUUUCCAUGUCCUCCUCCGAGGCUGCCCAUUGGACCCCCAAAGCUGCUUAAUUGCCUCAGUGAUUUCCUGACCAUGUUCUGUCCCUUGAAUCCUGCAGGACAAGUCUGUGAGGUGGGGGAAGUCAUUCCUUCUUAUCCUGGCUCUCCAUGCCAGCUUGUUGCUGUGUUACGGUCUCAUAAAGACCCCUUGCCUUCUUGACUCCUUUGCCAUCUUCUAGAAUGCCCCUUCCUCCUUAGGGCCCAGUCCUGGCCCAUGAGACCAGGAUGGAGAGAGAAGGAGGUGAGGCCCAGCCAGUCCUGAUACCUUGGGGACCACUUAGGAUACAAAGGUGCGCAGAGUUGUUGAAGGAUGAGUACAUGACUAUCAAGCAAGGGACAGCUUUCCAGGUGUGGCUUUCCUCAUCGCUGCAGGUCGAAUCACCCAGGGUGAUUGUGAGGGUCAGCUUACCACACUGGACAGAUUUAGGACAUUAAUAAGUACUUGGCAAAUUCCACUUUGAAGAGCAGAUGUUUGAUGCUUGAAUUUAAAAAAAAAAAGCCAGAAGAGGAAAAUUCUUCAGAGGGAAAUGGGAACCACAUUAACAGCAGAGAAUUAAAAUUAAGUAAGUUUGAUGCUCCGUGGUGGUUGCAAGGACACAGAAUUAUUUUAAAUUUCCAGUUUAUGGCUUCAACUGCAUUGCAGCCCUCCACUGCUGGGGAUCCGUCUCCCGGGGGAUGGGGCACAGAGAGACAGACAGCUGCUACCUGGGAAGCUGGAAUAAAGGAAGCAGGGGAGGAGGGGCUGGAAGAAGGAUCCCAGAAAAGAUUGGAGGAUGCCUAAGUGGGCAGAAGGACUUUCUACUGCGUUCUGUUGGUGACACACAGGGCAUUCCGAAUUGGCUGCAGUGCCAGUGGUAUGUACAGCUCACCUCCUCACCUACCACUCUUCCUCUAACUGGGCCUUAUCCCUCCGCCUCCUAUUCCUACUCCAUGCUUCAGUCCAUCUCUGCCCACAGGAGGGCUGGGAAUAGGUGAGUCCUGAAAUUUUCCAUGAGCCGGGGGCUGUUGCAAGCCCUUCAGGUUGCAGUUUCUUGCAGUGAGUGCUGUUGUCUUCCCCCUUUCAAGAGAUGAGGCAAGACAGGUUAAGUAACUUGCAGAGUUCACACAGCCAGCAGCAGAGGUGGGACUCCAGCCUGGGGAAUGGGAUUCCAUAGCCUUCCAUCCUAACCCGCUGCUACACUGCCUGCCAUUCACAGCCACUAAAAGUUUAAUUGUUUUGAUAGAUGCCAUCAGAAUGACACUGCAUUAAAACAGUGAAUCAGAAAGCCAGGGAGCCCCCCAGUGGCACCUGCCAUGAAUAUGUCUGUACCUUCCUCUUCCUUUGCAGUGCUCUUUCUCAGAAUUCUCCCUCUUCUUUUCCACUUUUUUUCCCCUCUUGCCUUAUCUUUUGUCUUAGUUUUCUUAAUCCACACCCAUGCCUUGGGCCCCUCAGGGGAGACUGUGUGCUUAACUGUGCCCUAAAACCUGAUAUUAGUUUCUCCCAGAUCUAACACAGCCCCAGCAACACUAAUAAUGAGCUGUGUUUUCAUAAGCAAGUUGCUUUCUCUCUCUGCCUGUUCCCAUACUGUAAAAAGAAAGAGUUGGACUGGGUGAAAAGGGAAAUUCUUUUACAGCUCUGCCAUUUUAUGAUUCUGGUGGCAACCAAGAGCAUUUAUUUGACUCAUCUGAGUAAAACUCAGAUGGAAGCUGGAGGAAUUUGGGGUCAGGAUGAUUGCAGCACUAAAAAAAAAAUCUAUAGUAGCAUCACAGGGUGGUUUGCUAUAAGAACAGUUUGCUAUCUUUCUCCUCUUUUUGUAGAGGGGCAGGGUGUGAUGAAACAGGAUCUUCUAUGUAGUUCAGAUUGGCCUUGAACUCACUGUUUAGCCCAGGCUGGCCUCAGACUUAUGGUGAUCCCUCUGCCUCAGCCUUCUGAAUGCUGGGCUUACAGGUGUGUGCCACCAUGCCCAGCAAAAAACGGCUUAGGCCAAUGUCAUUAUCUUAAGAUUCUGUGACUGAGCAACAUGCACUAGUGUCCUUCUAUAUGAAUGGGCAUUGCAACCCAGUAUUGUCAAAAAGCAAAGUUAUUACUGUGAAGUUUCUAAAAUGGUUCCCACUGACUCUGCCUCUUGAUUCAUGCCCCUUUGCAAGCCCUACCUGUCCCUGUGUUAAUCAGCUUUCUGUCAACAAAACAAAUACCCGAGAUAAUCACAAAGGUUUAUCUUGGCUCACUGCUUCCGUGGCUCGAGUCCACAGUUGGUUGGCUUCAUUGCUUCCAGGCUUGUGACGAGGGAGCACAUCAUGGCAUCAUGGUGGUGUAUAAUGGAGCAAAACUGCUCACGUGCCGACAGAGAUGAAGAGAUGAUGGUGGGGAGGGGCAGGGAUUUAGCUCAGUGGCACAAGCCCUUGCCUGGCGAGUGCAAGGUCAUGAGUUUGAUCCCCAGUACAAAAAAAAAAGGCAAGCAGGAAUCUUGUAGUCUCCUUCAGGGGUGCACCCCCAAUGAAUGAGGCCCCACCCUGAAAGAUCCCAACACCUUCCAAUACUACCAAUCUGGGGACUAAGCCUUCAAUGCACAGGACUUCUGGGAACAUUCUAGAUCUAAGCUACAGCAAGGAUGGCCUAGGCCUAGUGGCUCACUCCUAAUGAACCAAACUAACCACCAGUGGGAUGUCACCCCAAGAACCAAGUUACAAAAUGACUCUGACUUCUGUCCUCCUCCUCUGCCCACUUGCUUGGAUGACAUAAGUUUCCAUGUGUCGAGCGCCCCAUAGAGGCUCGCAUGGCAAGGAGCUGACAGCCUGCAAAGACUGAAGGGAGCUGAACGCUGCCACUGUCAUAUGAGUGAACUCGAAAGCCAGUUUUCCCCCAGCAGCAAGUCUCCAGAAGACACCAGCUCAGGUUGACUGUUUGAUUUCAGUCCCAUGGGAGGGCCCAUGCCCGUGAAUUCAGCAAAGCUGUGUGUCAUUUCUAGACCCCCAGAAACUAGAAGCUAAGAACAUGCUAAAUUCAUCACUGACACAGUUGGCUGAGAGUAUUUCAGAGCUCUGAGCCGACAUACACAUGACCAUACACAUGAAAAUACUUCCUUUCUAGGCAAAGGGCAGAACCAUUCAACUGCCAUUGUCAUAAGGCAAAGAUCAGUGCUAUGAGGCAAUUGUGAGACAGGUGAGACCUCAAUACGACUUUUCUAGUCGGCCUCAGUCAUUCUGACCUCUGUACCCCAGACUUGCUCUGUGUCCUGUGCCGGCCCCAGGUGGGCUGUCCCCUGUACCUCACCAGAGCUGGUCCUUUAUCCUCAGCUGCCAGCCACAGUGUCAGCAGGCCCACACCACUAAAAACUGUGUUGUGCGUGAUUAUUAUUCAUUAUUGAUAAUAAUAGUAUAUGCAGUAGUGUAUUUACAGUACUGCUACAAUGUGUGGCUUUCUGCAUCAGCACCUGACCAGUGAGCAAUGGAAAGUUUCCACAGAUGCAGAACACCAGCCGCUGCCCUGUGCUCCUCCUCACCAUCUGUCACACGACCACGGACUUCCGCAUGCCAGCCUCACAUCACUUGGGCACAUGGCAAACAGAAGCAAAGAUCUGAAACUCAUUACUUGCUGGGUGCUUGGCAACGCAGUAUGCCCACACCUAUCUGAAAGGAAGUGAUGUGCCAGUCCCCUGGGGAAGUGUGGAUGUCUUCCCUCUAAGCCUGUGAGUCACCAGGAGGAUCUUCAGUCUGACUCACCCCCCACCCCCACCCCAUGCUUGGGGAACCAAGCUGGAAAGAAAGAGCAGGAGCACUUUCAGUGAUAAUAAGUGUGUCCCUAUAGCCAGCUCCUCCAUCUGUGCUUCCAGCUUCGGUCUCCUGGAACACACAGAGGUUCUGCUGAACACAGUUAAGUCUAGCCAAGGCCAAGGUGCAGUCAGCCAUUGCAGAUGGGAUCGUCAAGGACAUGAAAGUGUGGCUCGGAGAGAAGACAGACACUGAGAACCACUCCUGAUCUGUGCCCUUUGUUUCUGGCUUAAGGGCAAAAGGUGACAGGUACAAUGAAGAUGAAUUCACUGUGGAGGAAAGAAAGGAAGUGUUUCAGGUGCAGGGCUCCGCGGAGCUAAGAGGACACAGUGGCUUCCUUACCGGGGCUGAUCGACAAAUCUGGUGAAUGUUUAAUUUUUUUAAAAAACUCACUGCAGGGGCUGGGGAUUUAGCUCAGCGGCAUAAGCGCCUGCCUUGCAAGCAGGCAGUCAUGAGUUCAAUCCCUGGUACCGAUAAAAACGAAAAAGAAAAAAAAAAAAAACUCACUGAAGUAAAAGGCACAUUGCCAAGAAUCAUGGGAUGAGUGUUUGAAGUGAGAUGGAGCACUGUAAGGGACAUCAAUGGUAAUACAUCUUUUCCUAUGAUAUGAAUUUUUAAAUUUAAACAUUCACUGCAUUUGUGAUCACCCCUGUUUACAGUCAUGUCUGUCAAAUAAAAAAAUAUCAGUGUGUCCUCAUCCACCUCA